AUCACCUAGGGAUCUUGUUAAAGUGUAGAUUCUGAUUCAGAAAAUUUGAUAGGACUGCAGAUUCUGCAUCACUAACAAGUUCCCAGGUGAUAUUGA
rnacentral:pre_miRNA from 1 species